UAAAAGCCAGUGAAGUCAGAUCAAGCAAAAUGGAGGACAAGCUGAUCGUCGCUGUUUGUAAUAACCCAAUCCUUUAUGAUUGUUCGAGUGUCCUUUACCAGGACAGGAACCAAAAGGAGCUUGCCUGGAGGAGGGUUAGCGAGAAAGUCGGUGUGUCAGUGGAAGUUUGUCAGAGAAGAUGGAAGACACUGUGUGACACAGAUGUAAAGGAGGUUAAAAAGUAAAGGAAACACGGAGCGGUUCGGCAGCUUCGAACGGGCAAAAGUGGAGGUACACGGCGGUGCUGUUGUUCCGCCAGCCGUUCAUCUCACCAAGGGAGACGACGAGCAACAUGCCAGCCAGUGUCGAGGGCGAGCUGGGCGCCGAGCAGGCCGCAGAGGGGGCCGACGUAGAGGCUGACGAGUAGGCCACACAGGAUGGAGAUAUCUCUAUCACGGGGGCCAGAGAAUCAGUUGAAUCUUUAGCUGACCCYSAAGACUCCCGGCCUGUAUCCAGUCCUUCGUCCUCCAUGUUGCCAUGCUCUUCAGCUUCAUUGGUGCGGACUACUCCAAGGACCACAACACCAA